rnacentral:rRNA from 1 species
GACGAACGCUGGCGGCGUGCUUAACACAUGCAAGUCGAACGGAAAGGCCUCUUUCGGGGGGUACUCGAGUGGCGAACGGGUGAGUAACACGUGAGUAACCUGCCCUUGACUUUGGGAUAACUUCAGGAAACUGGGGCUAAUACCGGAUAGGAGCUCCUGCUGCAUGGUGGGGGUUGGAAAGUUUCGGCGGUUGGGGAUGGACUCGCGGCUUAUCAGCUUGUUGGUGGGGUAGUGGCUUACCAAGGCUUUGACGGGUAGCCGGCCUGGGAGGGUGACCGGCCACAUUGGGACUGAGGUACGGCCCAGACUCCUACGGGAGGCAGCAGUGGGGAAUAUUGCACAAUGGGUGGGAGCCUGAUGCAGCAACGCCGUGUGCGGGAUGACGGCCUUCGGGUUGUAAACCGCUUUCGCUCAUGACGAAGCUUUGUGUGACGGUAGUGGGUAAAGAAGCACCGGCUAACUACGUG